AUAUUUGACAAUGGGGGCAACCCUGAUCCAUCCAUGCCGCGUGUGUUAAGAAGGUCUUCGGAUUGUAAAGCACUUUAAGUUGGGAGGAAGGGCUUUAGGCUAAUACCCGGAAGUUUUGACGUUACCAACGGAAUAAUCACCUGAUAACUCUGUGCCAGCAUCCGCGGUAAUACAGAGGGUGCAAGCGUUAAUCGGAAUUACUGGGCGUAAAGCUCGCGUAGGUGGUUCAGUAAGAUGGGUGUGAAAUCCCCGGGCUUAACCUGGGAACUGCUUUCAUAACUGCUGAGCUAGAGUACGGUAGAGGGUAGUGGAAUUUCCUGUGUAGCGGUGAAAUGCGUAGAUAUAGGAAGGAACACCAGUGGCGAAGGCGACUACCUGGACUGAUACUGACACUGAGGUGCGAAAGCGUGGGGAGCAAACA
rnacentral:rRNA from 1 species